CGUGGCGCCGCCGGUGGUGCCGCGCCGCGACGAGCCCACCCCGGAGCGGGAGGUGGAGCCGCGGGCGGACGGUGACGGCAGCGAGCUGGCGCAGAGUCCGCGCGACGAGCCGCCACCUCCGUCUCUGUACCGACGGGAGCCGACCCCUGACUCGGAGCCGCUGUACCGCCGGGAGCCGACCCCCGAGUCGAAGCCGCUGUACCGCCGGGAGCCAACCCCUGACUCAGAGCCGCUGUACCGCCGGGAGCCGACCUCCGAGUCGAAACCGGAGCCAGAACCAGAACCGGAACCAGAACCAGAGUCCGGGCAGGAGCAGGCCGCGUUCCACAGCGUACUGGAGCAGCCCACGGAGGUGGACAUCAAGACCGGUUUCGACUUUCUGGACAACUGGUAGUCGGCCGCCUGCGGCAGCGGAGGAAAGGAGGGAUGUGCGGCGUCUGCCGGCCCCUGGACGUCUCAGCCGGCCGUCCCGGCCCGGGCGGCGCCUACACCCCUGCUAGUUGCUGUGCCAUGUAUCCAGUCUCAACUGCCGGGUCAGGAGCCCGAGAGCUCAUCAACAAAAACCCGGGCCGAACUGCAGCAGUCUGCCCUGUGCUCUGAUGAUGCAGUCGCCAGACAGCCUGCUGCCGGUGUGUACAGCCCAAGGCGCCUAGCUAGGCCUAAGGCGUCGAUAAACAUUCUGCAAUCGCAAGUGUGGAAGAAACUCAUCUUGAACUUAGCACAUACGAGACGCUCCGGCCUCGGCCUGGAAGCGGCUGCCAUAUCGCAUCGUGCCACUCUGCCCCGCCAGUGUGGCGUUAUAACACAGAGGGCCGAAUCUCACUGCGCGACUGCCCGCCUGCUGGGUCUGCCAUCGCAUCGAAGCUGGUCCGCGACCAUCGCUGUGAAUAGCCGACCGCGCCGCGCACUGGACCGCUCGCCGCGUGCGCGCGAGCCGGGGCCUUGGCCCGCGCGAGCGGGGCCGGUCACCCGGGGUCGUGUCCAGGCGGGCCGGGGCCUCGGCCCGCCCGAGCGAGGCCGGUCGCCCAGGGUCGUGCUUGCGUUUGCAAGCUGGGGACCCGGCCCGCGUUAGCGAGGCCGAUCGCCCGGGGUCGUGUCCGCGCGGUCCGCGCGCUGCAUGCCGUGUGUGGUUGUCGUGUCGUGUCGUGUGCGUGUCCCGACGCCGGUCCGUUUUCUACAUUUGUACGCCACGCUGGCGGCGCGCCAGUUUUCAGUAGCCGGGCGCGCCGCCGAGUAACCGGUAGUGUGUAGUCAGCUCGGGAGCCUGCAGCGGGCGGCGGCCGGCGCGGCAGCAGAGGCUUUACUAACUGCGGAGAAACGGUCUAGUCAACGAGCUUGAGCGGCGACCGUGGUCGCCUGGGGCAUUACGGGACCGGAACUCCGCCGCUCUCGGCACGGGGCCUUGCCUUUCGGCUGCUGGUGGACCUAGUCCGGCGGCGCGAGCAUUUCGUACCGCGCCGCCUCGGGCCAUAUUUUGGUUAUUUUUGUACAUUGUCUAUCAGUCCAGUCAUCAAUAAAUGUUUGCUAUGGUUU